CCUACGGGGUGCAGCAGUGGGGAAUAUUGGACAAUGGGCGAAAGCCUGAUCCAGCCAUGCCGCGUGUGUGAAGAAGGCCUUCGGGUUGUAAAGCACUUUCAGUGGGGAAGAAAGCCUUGGGGCUAAUACCCUCGAGGAAGGACAUCACCCACAGAAGAAGCACCGGCUAACUCCGUGCCAGCAGCCGCGGUAAUACGGAGGGUGCGAGCGUUAAUCGGAAUUACUGGGCGUAAAGCGCGCGUAGGCGGUCUGAUAAGCCGGUUGUGAAAGCCCCGGGCUCAACCUGGGAACGGCAUCCGGAACUGUCAGGCUAGAGUGCAGGAGAGGGAGGUAGAAUUCCCGGUGUAGCGGUGAAAUGCGUGGAGAUCGGGAGGAAUACCAGUGGCGAAGGCGGCCUUCUGGACUGACACUGACGCUGAGGUGCGAAAGCGUGGGUAGCAAACAGGAUUAGAUACCCGAGUAGUC
rnacentral:rRNA from 1 species